rnacentral:rRNA from 1 species
ACGGAGGGUGCAAGCAUUAAUCGGAAUUAUUGGGCGUAAAGGGCGCGUAGGCGGGGAUGCAAGUCAGACGUGAAAUGCAAAGGCUUAACCUUUGAACGGCGUUUGAAACUGCAUUUCUUGAGGGUAAGCGGGGAGAAUGGAAUUUCACAAGUAGCGGUUGAAUGCGUAGAUAUGUGGAGGAACACCUGUGGCGAAGGCGAUUCUCUAGUUUAUACCUGACGCUGAGGCGCGAAAGCAAGGGGAGCAAACAG